GACAGAGGUGCCGAGCGUUAGGCGGAAUCACUGGGCUUAAAGCGUGUGUAGGCGGAUCUGUAAGUACCUUGUGAAAUCCCACGGCUCAACCGUGGAACUGCUUGGUAUACUGCGGGUCUUGAGCCACCUAGGGGCAAGUGGAACAAACGGUGGAGCGGUGAAAUGCGUAGAUAUCGUUUGGAACGCCAAUGGUGAAAACAACUUGCUGGGGGUGUGCUGACGCUGAGACACGAAAGCCAGGGGGAGCAAACGGG
rnacentral:rRNA from 1 species